UCCCCCGUGAGGGGGCAGUCUCGCCUGACAUGUAAAACAGGCAACGAGGGUUGCGUUCGUUACCCCACUGAAGGGAACAACUCAAGCCACGAACUGACGACGACCAUGCAUCACCUGUCCAGCCGCCUUGCGGAAGCUCUAGUUUCCUAGAGCGAUCGUCUGGAUGUCUAAUCCUGGUGAGGUUCUUCGUUUGCCAUCGAAUUGAGCCGCAUGAUCCACCGCUUGUGCAAGUCCCCGUCUAUUCCUUUGAGUUUUAAUCUUGCGAUCGUACUACCCAGGCGCCUAACUUAACGCGUUUGCUUCGCCACAAAGAGGGUCGAUACUCCUUAUAGCCAGUUAGGAUCGUUUAGGGCGUGGACUAC
rnacentral:misc_RNA from 1 species